rnacentral:lncRNA from 1 species
UUUUAAAUUUUAAUAUUUUUAGAGACCGUCCAGGCUGGACUUGAACUCCUUCCUCGGCUGAAGUGAUCCUCCUGCCUCAGCGUCCUGAAUAGGAAGUGGAGCCAGAAUCCACAGAUGUCAUUAUCCAUCUGCACACUUUGUUUACUACCCAGAAGGCAAGAAUAUUGCAUUUUAAAAGUGCCCGGACUUUUGUUCUUUCUUAUCACAAAUGACUUGGGAAGCUCCGACCACUCAUGUUUACCCCGAGUGAAAGUCCCAUUCAAAGCCUUGCUUCCUGGAGAGCUUUGAGAUUCUGGUACAAAAGGCAUUUUAUAAGCACAAAGUGGAAAAGCAUCAUUCAUAUUCAUUUGCUGCUGCGGCAUUUCUCCCUGGAAUCUUCCUCUUGUCUGUCAACAUUGGGCAAAAGGACUGGCCUCAUCUACAUUACAGAUAUCCUUGUGAUGGUCUGGAGGGACCUGUGGGAGAGGCGGCCAUCCAGAGGGCUCUCUGAGGGGUCAUUUAGAAUGCAACUCUUCUGGGCAGAGGAUGGUCUGCACUGGCCUCCACCACGCAGGAAGGCUUCCAGAGUGGAGAAAUGUCCACUAACAUGGCUUCUGUGAGGAGAGAUGAGAGGAAGUUAGAGGGGCUAGAAGAACCAGGAGACCUGUUGAAAAUCAUGAAUACAAAGAGAGGUCGUUUGCUUCUGUGCUUCAAUUCUAUAAUAAAA